rnacentral:rRNA from 1 species
CUAUGCGCCUUGCCAGCCGCUCAGGUGUGCCAGCAGCCGCGGUAAUACGUAGGUGGCAAGCGUUAUCCGGAUUUAUUGGGUGUAAAGGGCGUGUAGGCGGGAGCGCAAGUCAGAUGUGAAAACUCAGGGCUCAACCCUGAGCCUGCAUUUGAAACUGUGUUUCUUGAGUGCUGGAGAGGCAAUCGGAAUUCCGUGUGUAGCGGUGAAAUGCGUAGAUAUACGGAGGAACACCAGUGGCGAAGGCGGAUUGCUGGACAGUAACUGACGCUGAGGCGCGAAAGCGUGGGGAGCAAACAGG